rnacentral:rRNA from 1 species
GACGAACGCUGGCGGCGUGCUUAACACAUGCAAGUCGAACGAAGUGGCGAACGGGUGAGUAACGCGUAAUCAACUUGCUCUUCAGCGGGGGACAACAGUUGGAAACGACUGCUAAUACCGCAUACUGAAGGAGGGGACUGCGUCUGAUUAGCUAGUUGUGGGGGUAACGGCCCACCCAGGCAAUGGUCAGUAGGCGGUCUGAGAGGAGGAACGGCCACAUUGUGACUGAGACACGGCCCAGACUCCUACGGGAGGCAGGAGUGGGGAAUCUUCCGCAAUGGACGAAAUUCUGACCGAGCAACGACGCGUGAGGGAAGAAGGUUUUAGGAUCGUAAAACUCUGUUGUUAGAGGAGCGGUAUCUAACCAGAAAGCCACGGCUAACUACGGGCCAGCAGCCGCGGUAAUUC